ACGGAGGGUGCAAGCGUUGUUCGGAAUUAUUGGGCGUAAAGGGCGCGUAGGCGGUUGUGUAAGUCAGAUGUGAAAUACUUCAGCUUAACUGAAGAACUGCAUUUGAUACUGCAUAACUAGAGUACAGGAGAGGGAAAUGGAAUUCCCGGUGUAGAGGUGAAAUUCGUAGAUAUCAGGAGGAACACCGGUGGCGAAGGCGACUUUCUGGCCCUAUACUGACGCUGAGACGCGAGAGCGUGGGUAGCAAACAG
rnacentral:rRNA from 1 species